GCCAAGAGAGCGAAGUUUGCGGGCCAAAGGUCUCUGCGGCGACUGUCACGCAGAGCGGGUUUUUUUCUUUGGUGACGGUCCUUCAGGAAGCGACCGGAGAGACAAACUCCUCCUGAACUGAGAUUCACGCAGUCAGAGACGUUCGAAUUGGGUUCGAUGUGAAGUGAAUUCAUCGGAGGACUUUUGUAACCUAUCUGGCAAACCGCUGGAACCCCCCCCCCUCUGGAAGCAUGGCGAGCAUUGAUUCAAUGGCACAAUUUAACAUUUUUAGACGCUGGAGCGUAGUUUGAUUAUUUAGAUGAGGCCAAAAUAUCGGAAGACAUAAACCAAACGUUUGGAGGAAACCCAUGAGCAUGAGCAGAAAAGACUUUUCACCACACAUGUGCCGCAUUUGGGCCAGAAAAACGAAGCUCAACACAGCACCGUAAUUUGCUGUUUAGGGUGGACCGAUGUGUUUAAUUGUGUGUGGGGGGGUUCCACUUCUGGGAAAUUAUAUAUUUUUAGACGAUCUCUAAAGGUGCCAUCAGCUAUAUGGGAACAUUGCGGCACCUCUUUCCUGCUUCUUCCAGCUCGAUCCUGUGGCUUCCCGAGUUGGACGUUUGGCCAAAAUUUUGUGUGUUUAUGGAGCCGUUUGAGAAAUCAAAUAAAGUGUCCUCAUCAGUCCUAAUAUCUCCCGGGACUACCGCGUGGACAUUACCCUUCCUCCCCACGUUCGUACCGGUUAGUUUCAUUCAUAAAAGACACGAGGAUGAAUUCAUUGUCGUGGUUGGCCUCGGGUGGACACUGCAACCCCAAAGUGACACCGGUCCAAACUGAACCUCCCAGCCACGUGACAACAGGCCAACGUACACAAACCCCCCUUUUCGUCUCUGCAGUAACGGUGAGACAACAGCGACACCAUGAGGCCAGAAGCAGCCGUGCUUUGCCCUGCAUGCCCCGGGUAAAAUGCCCCGGGUUUCUUCCUAUUCCCUUUUUUGUUGUUGCACAUUUUGACACAAGACAUUGUUAAACAAGACGUUUGAGGAGCGCCAUGUUGCUGUGUUGUAAGUCGUGAACUGGAGAUCCACGGGACCAGAUCGUCGGUGGCUCAUUGCCCGCAAUCUGCCCCCCUGCUCCUGGCAGCCGACACGCAUCUUCGAGCGCAUGCUUUCAUUUUAAUAUCAACUACACCCCCGUAAAGUUUGGCUUCCGUAUCUUUGACGGUCGGGGACAAAGCUUGUCCAAAGAUAGACUCAUUAACGCCGGGCACAGAACUCCGAAUAGCUUCCAUGUGCAUUUAAGAAAAGACCGGAUAGGAUCGCAUUCCUGCGCUGACAAAAUCACGAGCAGCGCUUUCCUCCAUCACUCGCGCAUGUGACGACUAAAAACACAUGUGCAUAUUAAACACAUCUGCUUUUAGUCGUCGCAUCGUUUGGAUGUUGACCAGAAUUUGAAGUUUUGACGAAUUUCUGUUGUUGUUUUGCCUUCGACAAAUAUCUCCGAGAUACGCUGUUGUUUUUCUGUCUUGUAUCGCAUUUGUAAAUCUUCCAAGGAAAAGUCUUCAAAGACUCCCGGUUGCCGAGGCUUUCAUCAGCGGGCCACCGGUCCCCAUUGUGUCGGUUCAUCUGCCGAUUGAUGGUGACUCAACACACGUUGUUUCGGUGGGAUAUUGUUUCAUAACAGUGUCCUGUGUGAUAUGAACCCUAGUUGGCCGAAAGCAGAACCCUUUACACCACAUAGGGGACCAAUAGAACCCUUGAGUUUGUUGUUCUUUUUUCUUUUUUGUUACUAAAUAAUGAAAAAAGUAUGUUCCCUGUUACGUAUAAAUGUUUGUGCUUGUGUGACAGGCCGGUCCAACCCGACCGUGAACAAAGUGAGCAGUUUGUCCAGAACCACACGGAGCCACGUGGCAGCACCAAGGAGGCCCCUGCACCUCCUUAAGUUAAGUUCCCCGCCCGCGGCGCGUUGUGUCAAACGCUUUUUUGAAAUGACCACCAGCGUCACGUCAACGACACCGAGGCCCACGAGGGAUCCCCGAGAAGCCAAAAACCCCCCAGCAGUCAAUAUCAUUUCGACCUGAAGGCCGAACGUCUGUGCUUGCAUGAUGAUGUAUAAAUAAAUAAAAAAUAAAUCUUCAUGAUGUAAUCUUCUGAAAUAAUUCAUAUAGUGUGGGAGAUAGAAGCGAAACUAUGAGAUCAGUGAGAAAUUGCACCGUUGCUUUGCCCCUAGUCUAACUAUGAACAGAUGCUAUCAUUUCUACGGAUCAAAAGAAGAGAAAGGGAGGAAGCCACACUGGCUCGGACCACUUCCACUUUCAAUCUCUGCCUUCAUUUUGAUCUCAACUGCACACCUGCAAAGUUUCAUACCUGCGUCUCACGGAACUGUGAUGCAGUCACAGUGACAAAAAUCCAUCCGAAGACGGAGAAAAAUGCAAAUGGCCAAAGUUCACCUUCUGUGCUUCUGUGGUGGGUAGUAGUUGUCUCCGGCAGCAUUUCUGAGUCAUGAUGAGGUUCACACACGGAGUCACUCUAGCGGCUUGUAAAAAGGCCAAAGGCAUUCAAAAGGGUUUUUUUGUAACCCUCUUUACUGGAUCCAAUACCUCAAAGCUUCUCAUGAUUUGGCAGUACAAACAGGAAGAGGUUUGAGUGAAGGUUUAAGAUCACAGCUCUGCUUAUUGUCAACAGAUUCAUAAACACAACAGAAAAAAAGUGAAGCCAACUGCUGGAGGACAAAAUACUGCAAACAUCUUACAAUGUAUGAUUGGACUUGGUGGAGUACCAACGCGCUGGUCGGAUGGAGAGCUGACCUGGCUGCUAUAGAAACCUGCUUACUAACUUGUGCGUGGCUAUCGCUUUCACUUUCCGCUCAACAGCAGCAGUCGACCGACGUUAAAGGGGCACUGAUUACACAAAUCAGUUUGAUUUCAUUUUCAUGAGGUAAAGCUGGAGAAACCCUGGCCGUGAAAGGAGCACGGAGGUUCAGGAGUUUGGUGGACAUGGGGACAUAACGGCAGGUUCGGACAGUUCAUGCUCUUGGGUUGCAUUACCAAGAGUGAAUGAUUCAUGAGUUUGACUGUUUGUUAAAGUCAGGACGUUUCAGCUUCACAGAUUCAUUCGCGUCAGUACGGGACUAACCUGCUCCAGUACCUCAUCGUUAUAAAUACUCAUCGAUCUUUGAGCACAGAUGUUCAUUUUUAUUCACAUGGGUUUACUAUAGGUUACUUUAGGCCGUACAUAUUUUGGCAGGUGAAUAACAGGUGGCAGCAUCAGGUGAAGUAGAGGCGGCUCAGCCUGUUGGCGCUCUCGAUGUUGAUGGAACAUGGCGACACGGCGAACGCCCACGCUGGCACUGAACCAACCCCGCACCCCGGGCUCCUCCCUCACGCGCCCGCUUAAGGCUGAGACGACUUACGGUCUUCAUUUUACAGGCUUUGCGUUUUGUACGUAUUUACUCUGCAGACCGGCCCCUGACAGCAUGUGUGACAGAGUCCAUGAACAUCUGUCCUGCCCACAGCAAUCUGUAAGUGCUCUGCUGUGGCUGCUGUGUAGUUUGUUUGAUUCAUCAUUACAUUGGACCUCAGGGUUCGUUAGAUUAACUUUUCUUUAAAGAGGGCCUUCACUGAAUAAAAAAAAAAAAAGAUGUCUCCCUUAUCUGACCAUUUUACCCAUUGGCAGCUGGGAGAACACGACUCGGGGUGGGAGGCAGCCUUCCGUCAAUUUGACAAUGUGGCUGUUGCAGAUGAGCCGUAUCUACAAGUGCCGGUGCUGUUUGCUUCUUCUUUUAUAUGCUGACAUUUGUCUUCUUGCUCUCCCUAAAAAUGUCAAGGAUUCUUAACACUGGUGAAACCUUCCAAAUGGCAACACCGAGGUGGCGUGUGGGGUAACUAAUACAGGCGGUUCUCACCACGGAGGAGCUUACAAACGAAGGGCAGUCAAGCAGAAAGGGAAGUGGUUGAAACACAAUGACACUGUGCUCGGUCAAAUAAGGAGUAAGCGGGUAAGCGUGUUUCUGCUGUGAUCUUCUGCAGGUCCGUCUGUGUGCGCAUUCUGUUCCUCUCCAUGUUGGACAGGCUGAUCUAAACCAGACUGGUAGACUGAACGCCGGCUCGCAUUAAAAAAAAAACUCUUUCAACAGCUCCUCUGGCAGCUUCAGCAGCAGGAGUGGGGCCGGGUUCGAGGUUAAAGUUAUUCAGCGGGAGAGAGGAAUUUGGUAUUAUAUCACUUGCUAAUUGUCUUAUUAUUAAUUGGUGACAUUGAUUGAAAUGGAUUCGACUCCAUCCAGGAUCCACGGCCUCCUCUUCAGACCCUUUGUGACUGUGGAUCACACAGACAAGACUCGGUUAAUUGGGUUCCUCGCACAAACCAGCAUCUGCAACACAAACUGUUAGAACAAUGCAGUCGGCAUCACCUUGUGUCAGAUCAUAGAGGAGAACAACACAGCUCUUACUUUUUACAGUAGCAUCCACUGUCCGCUAACCUCCCCUGGUGAUGAGCAAUCUGCUAACCUCCCCUGGUGAUGAGCAAUCUGCAGCCUUCCUGAGUACGGACUUGAAGACGGCCACACUGCCAUCCGCUCCCAGCUCGCUGUGAAGAAGGAUGCCACAAAACAAAACCACAAAAGACUCCUGGCCACCUUCUCACCUGAAGAGAGGCUACACAAGGGUGUG